rnacentral:rRNA from 1 species
UCUUCCCUCUGGCGGCGUGCCUAAUACAUGCAAGUCGAGCGAACAGACGAGGAGCUUGCUCCUCUGACGUUAGCGGCGGACGGGUGAGUAACACGUGGAUAACCUACCUAUAAGACUGGGAUAACUUCGGGAAACCGGAGCUAAUACCGGAUAAUAUAUUGAACCGCAUGGUUCAAUAGUGAAAGACGGUUUUGCUGUCACUUAUAGAUGGAUCCGCGCCGCAUUAGCUAGUUGGUAAGGUAACGGCUUACCAAGGCAACGAUGCGUAGCCGACCUGAGAGGGUGAUCGGCCACACUGGAACUGAGACACGGUCCAGACUCCUACGGGAGGCAGCAGUAGGGAAUCUUCCGCAAUGGGCGAAAGCCUGACGGAGCAACGCCGCGUGAGUGAUGAAGGUCUUCGGAUCGUAAAACUCUGUUACUAGGGAAGAACAAAUGUGUAAGUAACUAUGCACGUCUUGACGGUACCUAAUCAGAAAGCCACGGCUAACUACGUG